rnacentral:rRNA from 1 species
UUCGCAAUGCCCGAAAGGGUGAACGAGCGACGCCGCGUGCGGGAUGAAGGGUUUCGGCUUGUAAACCGCUUUUCUUUGGGAAGAAGGUCUGUCUCGUGCAGAUGGGCUCGACGGUACCAGAGGAAUAAGCCUCGGCUAACUCCGUGCCAGCAGCCGCGGUAAUACGGAGGGGGCAAGCGUUGUUCGGAUUUACUGGGCGUAAAGGGUGUGUAGGCGGUUGCGUCAGUCUGGUGUGAAAUCUUCACCGCUCAACGGGAAGGAGCCACUGGAAACUGCGCAACUCGAGUAUGGUAGAGGCUAGCGGAAUUCCUGGUGUAGCGGUGGAAUGUGUAGAUAUCAGGAAGAACAUCUGUGGCGAAGGCGGCUAGCUGGGCCAUCACUGACGCUGAGACGCGAAAGCGUGGGGAGCGAACGGGAUUAGAUACCCCGGUAGUCCACGCUGUAAACGGUGGGCACUAAGUAGAGGGGUUUU